rnacentral:tRNA from 1 species
UCCCCCGUGGCGCAAUUGGAUAGCGCGUUAGACUGUUAUCAGAUAAAUUCUGCAAUCUAAAGGUUGGUGGUUCAAACCCACCCGGGGGAG